rnacentral:snRNA from 1 species
AGCUUUGCGCAGUGGCAGUAUCGUGGCCAGUGAGGUUUAUCCGAGGCGCAAUUAUUGCUUAAAAAAAAAAAGUAUCUUGUCCUAGCUCAGUGAUGGCGAACCUUUUGAGCUUGGCGUGUCAGCAUUUUGAAAAACCCUAACUUAACUCUGGU